GGUAUGUCGAGUAUCCCGACAAAGGUCCAUGGUAUGAACUGUUGGUCAUUCCACUUCGUUUUGAGCUACUUUGUUCAAUCAUGAUCCCCAUAUCAAUUAAGGUGUCCCUUGACCUUGUGAAGAGCUUGUAUGCAAAGUUUAUUGAUUGGGAUGAUAAAAUGAUUGACCAUGAGACUAUUACUCCAGCCCAUGCAACAAAUACAGCAAUCAGCGAGGACUUGGGCUAGGUUGAGUACAUUUUGACUGACAAAACUGGUACUCUAACAGAAAAUAAGAUGAUCUUUAGAAGGUGCUGUAUCAGUGGCAUUUUCUAUGGAAAUGAGACAGGAGAUGCCUUAAAAGGUAUGGUGUUUUUCUGAACAAAUAUUUCUGUUAAACUUAUGUAGUUAUUAACUUAAUUUGGGGUUGUAAAUUGGUGUUAAGUUGACCUUACAUCAAAAAUGUAUUUUGGG